rnacentral:lncRNA from 1 species
AGGGAAAGGUCAUGGUCAAUGAGAAAGCCUUUGAUGGGGAGAGUCUGAGAUGGGACCCAGGAACAUCACCAUGAAGCUGUCCAGGAUGGAUGUGGGACCCUCUGUCAGACCAGGCCAGUUCUCUUAAUGUAAGAUCAGCAGGCCAAGGUCCUGGGAUAUGGGAGCUCCCAGGAAGUGGACUGGGAUGCCUGAGGGAUCCAAGAAUUAGCAGUGUCCUGUGUGGUCUCGCUGAGGGAAGCCAGGCAAAAUCUAGCGGCUCAGCUGUAACAGCCGGAGCUCUUGGCUCCCAAGCAACAGGAAACAAUUCUGGCUUAUUUAAGCAGAAAAGGACUUUAUCAAAAGGAUCUUGGGGAACUCACAAAAUAACCAAGAGGGCUGAAGAAUACAGUUGGUGAGUCGACCAAGGAGGCUGCACAGCAGUCAGGACCACAGCCAAAGUCAGGCAAUCCAGGGAUGACCUCGCUGCCAAAUCCAGGACUCCCUGGCAUACACUGCCACCUUGGGACGUGGAUAUGGUCCCUGUCGCCCCAGGAACUGGAAUGCCAUUGACUUGGCGACUGCCACCAUCCACCAGAAUGGACUUCUGUGCUCCUUGCAUCUCUGUAUUAUUAGUUCCCAACUCCAAGCCUUUGAUGGGGGCAUCUGAUGGAUUGAGCCUAAGCUGCAGUGAAAGACAGUGAAGGAAUUAUCCAGGGAAUCACUAGGAGAAUGGAGACCACAUGGAAAGGAGUUGUUGGAGCCCAAUGAAAAAUUCUACAUUGAAGACUAAGGGAAAAAGAGGUUUCAUUAUAGAGCUGGGACUGAUUGCAUUUUCAAAAGGUGGCUGCAACAAUAUCCCACACACUUUUCUGCUGUAUAAUCUGCCACUUCUCCAUCAAGUAGAGGAGACAAUUUCUCCCCUCCUUUGAAUCUGAGUGAGUUCUGUGACUGUUUUGACUGAUAGAAUGAUGUGGAAGACAGACUGUGUGACCUGAAAGGUGAGGUCACAGAAAGCCUUGCAACUUCCACCUGGCCUGUGAAGAACACUUGCUCUUGGGAUACUCCUUCUUGGAACCCAGCCACCAUGCUGUAAGAAGCCCAAUCUACAUGCAGACACCACAUAUAAGGCAUCGUAGUCAACAGCCACAGUUAAGUUCCCAGCCGGCAGCCAACAUCAACUACCAGUCUUGUGAGUGAGCUAUCUUGGACAUCCAGCUUGGUUAAACCUUCAGAUGACUCCAGCCCCAGCUGACACCUGACUGCAACCACAUGAGAAACCAGGAAUGAAAAUCCACCAGCUGAGCCCAGUCAACUCAUAGAACUGUGAGAGAUAAUAAUAAGUUGUGGUACUAAGCCACUAGGAUUGGGGCACCAUGCAAUAAUAGGUAACCAAGACAGUAGCAACUUUGGUUAGACACAUGAGCCAUGGGAUGACACAUAAUUAGGUAUAUUUUUAAAAACUUGGAUUCAGCUUUAGGGCAAUGUGUCCCUAACAUAGAGAGGCACUAUUUCAGUUCACAUCUGCUGCCUCUGAUCAAAACACUCUCUUGCACUUCCAGAGAGAGAGAGAGAGAGAGCAAAUGUGUGUAUUUACUGACAGGUGUCCCUUUGUGUCCCCAUCUGUGUGACUGUGGAGCUCAGUGUCUCUCACACAUUCUAGUAUGAUACUUGGUGCCAUAUUUGCAGGUCCUGAGGUAAGAACCCAUGCUGUUGUCUUCAGAGAGUUUCAUGGGUUGGACUGUGCCAUAUAUGGGCAAAAAUCCACCCACACGUUUUCUUUUAAUCACCUUUAUGGAUGUAUAAUUUACAUAUAUACUUUUUUCUUAUUACUUUUUAUUUAUGUAAUUUAUUCAUUUUUUGAGAUAGGGUCUCACUCUCUUGCCCAGGCUGGAGUGCAGUGGAGUGAUCAUGGCUCACUGCAGCCUUGACCUCCUGGGCUUAAGCAAUCCUCCCACUUCAGCCACCUGAGUAGCUGGGACCACAGGCACACACCACCACUCCUGGCUAAUUUAAAAAGUUGUUUUUUUUUUUUUUUUUGUAGAGACAGGGUCUCACUAUGUUGUCAAGGCUGGUCUCAAACUCCUGGGCUCAAGCGAUCCUAGUGCCUCAGCCUUCCAAAGUUCCGGGAUUACAAGCAUGAGCCACCAUGCCUGGCAUCUUUUGUGGAUGUGUAAUUUACAUACGUACAAUAAUAUGUACCUAUUUUAAGUAUACAGUUUGAUGAGCUUUGACGAAUGUAGCCCACGAAACCACCACCAUAAUCGAAGUAUAGAACUUUUUUUUUUUUUUUUUUUGAGACGAAGUCUCUCUCUUGUCACCCAGGCUGGAGUGCAAUGGCAUGAUCCCGGCUCACUGAAACUUCCGCCUCCCAGGUUCAAGCGAUUCUCCUGCCUCAGCCUCCUGAGUAGCUGGGAUUACAGGCACCUGCCACCACGCCCAGCUAAUUUUUGUAUUUUUAGUAGAGACAGGGUUUCACCAUGCUGGCCAGGCUGGUCUCGAGCUCCUGACCUCAGGUGAUCCCCCCUCCUCGGCCUCCCAAAGUGCUGGGAUUACAGGCAUGAGCCACUGCGCCCGGCCUAUAGAACAUUUUAAUCACCCCAGAGAUGUGCCCCCUGUGCAGCCAGUUCCCUCCUCUCACCCCCCAGCCCCUGGCAAGCAUUGAUUUGCUUUGCCACUAUCAAUCAAUUUUUGUCUUUUCUGGUAUUUCAUAUGAAUGGAAUCAUAUAGGAUAGAUUUUUAUGUGACUACACACUAUUUUAGCAUAAUAUUUUUGAAGUUCUUCCAUGUUGUUGUGUAUAUCUAUAGUUAAUUUCUUUUUCUCACUGAAUUGUAUACCACUGUAUGAUGUAUCACAAUUUGUUUAUUCAUUCUCCCGUUGCUGGACAUUUGGACUGUUUAUUGUUUGGGGCUACUAUGAAUAAAACUGCUAUGGAUGUUUAUGUACAAGA